rnacentral:lncRNA from 1 species
UUUUCAUUCUGUUUCUCUGUGUUUAAUUAGCCUGGAAUGUAUUUAAAUUAUGUUUAUGUCUAACAGGAAUGGUUCUUGUCAUUUAAAUAAUGUGUAUGUGCGACAUUAUGAUAACAUUCAUUGUUUAUUUUCAUCGGAAAGCAAAUUCCACCUUCAGAAAGAUAAAUUAAUAAGCAUUAAAACAAGCUAAUCUAUAUGCUUCCUCUAUUCGCACCCAUUUCUUUCUCAUUAGUACUUUACUAUUAAGCCACUCGAGCCGUGAGUCUACAUAGCUAAUGAUAUUGAUUACAAAUUGGCAGUUGCGAUGGCACGAGUGCUAUUUCCUUUAGAAGCCAAAUUAGCUAUACAGACAGCACAAGCAGAUACAACAGAGGUUAAUUCGAGUGAUAUGCCAACUGAACAAGUCAAAAGGCUCCAGUUCAUGAGGCUGCAAACACUGGAAAAAACUGGUAAGUCGGCUAUGUAACAACUCUUGCUGAUUUAGAGCAUCUUUGGCUAAGCUCAAGCAAAGGCUAAAAGUUCCUUUUUUGUUUGCGAACAUGCUUGGAUAAGUUACUCUCUUUUUUCAUUUUUUAUUUUUUAUUUUUUUUUAUAAAAUGAAAAUAGUUAUUUAUUUUCAAAGUAACUCUUACCUUACCAAUUAACUUAUUUUCAAUUUUGACCAAUUUAAAAGGCUAUUUACUUGAAAAUUUACUUAUUAAGAAACUUUUCUGUUAGAUGAAAAUGUUGUGUUAUGAAAACUUGCAACUGAGGUUAAGCUAUAUAUGAAUCCUGUCUUAGUCUCAGAAGGUCCGCACAGUCUCUCAAAUAAGAAACAGAAGAAGGAACUGUGCAUUCAUUGCUGAUAGUUAUGGAAUGAUGUACCCCAGUAAUAUGUCCUCCAAUAUUAGGAGGGCCUAUUUUUGUUCUUCUAUUUUUUAUUUUUAUUUUUUUUUGGCCGG